CAAUCUACUUCCUGUGAUUGUUUUUUUUGCACGUAAUGUAUCCCCAUUCCUCACCCGUAAGCACAGUCACAGUAUAGUGAACCAUGGACGCUACAGGGAGAAUGAAAAGAAUCCUUCUCUUGUUGCAUGUUCUCUUCAUGUCGGGUAUGAGUUCUACAACCAUGGUUAACAUCUCUUCAAGUGUGGGCAAGAAUGUCCGUUUACCAUGUGUUGUGAAGUCAGACAAUAUCUUCGUUGUCCAGAUACAAUGGCAGAAUCAGGUGGGUCAUCACCAGGAGGAACAAAUCGUGGUCUACAAUCCAACUCAUGGGGAAUACAAAUCACCAGGUCACAAGGGAAGACUAAGAGCCAAUCAAAAUCCUUCAAGUGGUCGGCCAGAGAGCUUUCAUUUGGACCUGGAGGAUCUGGAGCUACAGGACAGUGCUCUUUAUGUGUGUGACAUCAAUACUUCCCCAUCUGGAACCAUCAGACAAUAUGUGAAUUUGCAAGUCAAAGGUGAAGAGGAUAGAAGUAUACCUGCACAUCUACCGACAACAACGGUGCCUGCCAGUCUUAGCUCAAGGCCACUUGAGAGGACAACACACCGUAUCCAACCAGGUCAAGUAACUUUACUACAUGCACACAUACAUAUAUAGGCUUUUCAACAAAUGUGUACUGAUACUGACUACUACUGAUACAGACUAUACAUUGUCCCACUUAUGGUUAAUAUAUGGCACAAUACAAUGCAAUACAAUAAAUACAUACCUACAUACAUGCACACAUACAU